rnacentral:rRNA from 1 species
GACGAACGCUGGCGGCGUGCUUAACACAUGCAAGUCGAACGGAAAGGCCCUGCUUUGGUGGGGUGCUCGAGUGGCGAACGGGUGAGUAACACGUGAGUAACCUGCCCUGGACUUUGGGAUAACUUCAGGAAACUGGGGCUAAUACCGGAUAGGAGGACGUGCUGCAUGGUGGGGGUGGGAAAGUUUCGGCGGUUGGGGAUGGACUCGCGGCUUAUCAGCUUGUUGGUGGGGUAGUGGCUUACCAAGGCUUUGACGGGUAGCCGGCCUGAGAGGGUGACCGGCCACAUUGGGACUGAGAUACGGCCCAGACUCCUACGGGAGGCAGCAGUGGGGAAUAUUGCACAAUGGGCGGAAGCCUGAUGCAGCAACGCCGCGUGCGGGAUGACGGCCUUCGGGUUGUAAACCGCUUCCGCCUGUGACGAAGCGUGAGUGACGGUAAUGGGUAAAGAAGCACCGGCUAACUACGUG